CCCUAGCCCCGAUAGAAACGGUUACCCCACAGCAUGGGUUGGUGAGAGAAAGGGUUUGAGCGUUGGAGGGCAAUGGCGCGAGGAGUAUGAGUGGAGAGCGGGAUUAAGC
rnacentral:misc_RNA from 1 species